rnacentral:rRNA from 1 species
UGGCGGCGUGCCUAACACAUGCAAGUCGCACGAGAAAGUGGAGCAAUCCAUGAGUACAGUGGCGCACGGGUGAGUAACACGUGACUAACCUACCCUCGAGUGGGGAAUAACUUCGGGAAACCGAGGCUAAUACCGCAUAACACUUACGAGUCAAAGCAGCAAUGCGCUUGGGGAGGGGGUCGCGGCAGAUUAGCUAGUUGGUGGGGUAAUGGCCCACCAAGGCGAUGAUCUGUAUCCGGCCUGAGAGGGCGCACGGACACACUGGAACUGAAACACGGUCCAGACUCCUACGGGAGGCAGCAGUGGGGAAUUUUGCGCAAUGGGGGAAACCCUGACGCAGCAACGCCGCGUGGAGGAUGAAAUCCCUUGGGAUGUAAACUCCUUUCGAUCGGGACGAUUAUGACGGUACCGGAAGAAGAAGCCCCGGCUAACUUCGUACCAGCAGCCGCGGUAAUACGAGGGGGGCGAGCGUUGUUCGGAAUUAUUGGGCGUAAAGGGUGCGUAGGCGGUUUGAUAAGUCAUCUGUGAAAUCUCUGGGCUCAACCCAGAGUCUGCAGGCGAAACUGUCGGGCUUGAGUAUGGGAGAGGUGAGUGGAAUUUCCGGUGUAGCGGUGAAAUGCGUAGAUAUCGGAAGGAACACCUGUGGCGAAAGCGGCUCACUGGACCAUUACUGACGCUGAUGCACGAAAGCUAGGGGAGCAAACAGGAUUAGAUACCCUGGUAGUCCUAGCCCUACACGAUGAUUGCUUGAUGUGGAGGGUACCCAAUCCUUCCGUGUCGUAGC